rnacentral:rRNA from 1 species
GCAAAGCAAAAGCGAGUAGGUUUUCCUGCGUUUGUUGCAUGCAUUUGACCCGAAACUAAGUGAUCUCGUUUUGAGCAGGUUGAAGAAAGCGUAAAGUCUUUUGGAGGACCGAACCGACGUCUGUAGCAAUAGGCGCGGAUGACUUGAUACGAGGGGUGAAAGGCCAAUCAAACUUAGAAAUAGCUGGUUCUUCGCGAAAUUUAUUGAGGUAAAGCGUCUAUUAAAUCUUUCUGGGGGUAGAGCACUUAUUGAGCUAUGGGG